rnacentral:lncRNA from 1 species
AAUAUGGUAACCACUAGCCACUUGUGACUACUGAGUGUCUGAAAGGUUCUGCUUGAAUUCUUGCCCUGGCUCUUGGUGAAGGAUCGGCCUGCUGGAUCUGAGUCAUCCACCUAUAAGAGGGACAACACCACACAUUGGUCGCUGCUCUCAAGCCCCUGGAAUACCACCCCACUUGGCUUCUCCUGGUAACAGUGGCUGCCUUUGCUUGCCUGUCUCCAACUCCUCCCAAGAGCAUUGCUGACUAUACCACCCACAUAAACAAAAACUUUUUGGGAGUCCUCCAGAAUUUUUAAGAGUUAUCUAAACUAUUGCCUUUAAUGACCAGGAACUCCAAUUUGAGAAGUUACCCUACGUUAAGCCAACAGCAGCCUGGCUCCUUCAUCCUGUGCAGUAUGGGACAGAGCUGGGUCCUUGUUGUCAUCAGCCAGACAAGCACACAUUAAAGCCCACCUUAGCCAUUGGCAUUACAGCUUUAAAAGCAGCUCCAUCCUACCAUGCUGUCACUCUACUCAAUCACGUGAUCUUAACGACCAGCUCUACAUAUCCUCUCUCCAUGCCCCCACCACCAUCCCCCACCAACAAAUCCGAUUCUGCUAUCAGCUACAGGUCUGGGUUUGUGUCUCCGACAAAGAACCACCUCAAAGCCCCACAGAAAAGGACUGUACCGUAUACUUCAAACUAUUGACACCUCAAAGAACAGAGCUUGGGUUCAGGCUUCUGAUGCAUUCUGAGACACUCUCAGACCAUACCAGUGGGCUGGGUCAGGAUUUACAGAACUAUUUUCAUUUCAAGAGCAUACGGGCUCAUGAGAUUGCUAACUCAAGAUCCGGUGGAACAGAAAUACUUAUAUCGG